GUCGCACACCGGACGAGAAGCGCAGCGCCCCGUCUAGGACAACUCGAGGUAUCGCACACCGGACGCGCACAUUCUAUACGCGCGAGUUCAAUUUCGAAUCAAGUUCUGAGCUGCAAGAUGGAUCAAAUGUUGUCUGACAACAAAAAAACGACUGAACUGCUACUUUUACGUCGAAGAAUA